GGCGGGCGAAGGGCGGGAGGGCCCGGGCUGUGCCGCGGGGGGCUCCCCGGCUCCCCUGCCCUUCCUCCCGCAGGAACUGACGAGCGAGGGGACGGGGCGGGCGCCGCCCGGGGCUGCUGGCGCUGGCGGGGCUGGAGAGCGCCCAAGAUGGCGGCAGGCGAGGAGUGUGGCGCGCCCGCCUCCUCAGCCCGCGGGGCCGGGGGCUUUCGCAGCUCUCCCCGCACCUUCCGUGGCCCUGCGGUUUCCCUGCUCUUAACCCCUUCCCUCUCGCCCUUUCGAUAUUGAUAGUCUCGCCUGUACUGUAAACCUACUGCUGUCGGGCAGCUCUGUUAUUGCGGAGGUUUUCUUGCCCUGUCAUUGCUUCGUACUUCUUAAGGACAGCAAAAUGUUAAAGAGUGAUGUAACGUUUGGAGAAUAGCUGGAGGAAGCGUGCUGUGGACCUGGAAGUCACUGGGCCGUUCCCUUCACCUGAGGAAAUUCAGCUGGUUUGUUUAUAGAGAAAGAUGCUUAAUGUUGAACUUCUGUCACCUCUCUGUCAAGAAGACUGUAUUUUGGUCAAGAAUAUCAACUUUCCGAUUCUAGCUUACUGAAGAAUGACAAGAAGAUUGGCAGGAGUAGAAAGACCCGAUAUUUGCAGCAGA